CUGACCUCAGAUCAGGCAAGACCACCCGCUGAG
rnacentral:rRNA from 1 species